CAGUCGCCGCGGUAAUACGGAGGGUGCAAGCGUUAAUCGGAAUUACUGGGCGUAAAGCGCACGCAGGCGGUUUGUUAAGUCAGAUGUGAAAUCCCCGAGCUCAACCUGGGAAUGGCAAUGGAUACUGGCAAGCUAGAGUGUGUCAGAGGAUGGUGGAAUUCCCGGUGUAGCGGUGAAAUGCGUAGAGAUCGGGAGGAACAUCAGUGGCGAAGGCGGCCAUCUGGGACAACACUGACGCUGAGGCACGAAAGCGUGGGGAGUAAACAGGAUUAGAUACCCGUGUAGUCCCUGUCUCUUAUAC
rnacentral:rRNA from 1 species